GAAGCUGGCCAGGCAGCCGCUGUGUGCGGACCAAACCGGACAGGGCGACCUGUACGUGCCGUGCAUAGAGGAAAGUCCGGGCUCCACAGGGUAGGGUGACGGGUAACGCCCGUCCGCCGUGAGGCGAGGAACAGGGCCACAGAGAAUGAACCGCCGAUGGCCGUUCGACUUGCGGCGCGCGAGCGGCGCAAAGUCUCUCUUUAAUGGGAAGAAUGGAUCAGGUAAGGGUGAAAAGGUGCGGUAAGAGCGCACCGCACUCGCGGUAACGCGAGUGGCACGGUAACCUCCACCCGGAGCAACACCGAAUAGGCAAGCGUUGACGCGUCCCGCCGAGCUUGCGGGUAGGUGGCUUGAGCUGUACAGCGAUGUGCGGCCCAGAGGAAUGGCUGUCCACGACAGAACCCGGCUUACCGGCCAGCUUCACCA
rnacentral:RNase_P_RNA from 1 species